UAGACCAGCAGGCGGGCGGAGGAGGGGCGGAGGGGCCGGGAGUCCCGAGCCAAGGACGCCCCCGGCGGGAGGGACAAGGCAGGCGGCCGGGGUGUCCUGCGCGGCCCGAGAGGCUCAGAGUCCGGGACCGGGCCGCCUCUCGCCCUCUCCGCCGGUUGGAGCAAUCUUGGGAUUUUCUGCCAAGAGGGAGGCCAAGGCUGAUUCACCUCCGGGGCUUUUGGGGGGACAUUCCUGCAGUCGGAAAGCCGCCUCUUCGAACGCUACAGCCUGAAGGUGGCACAGUCUUUUCCAGGUGCCACAAAAUUGCUGAAGCACCCACAGGAUGUGAGCUACUUUUUACCCCAUCUGGAACUGAGGAUUGAACCUAGGGUAUUUGCAUUGAUCUACAUGUCCAGUCGCUUUAUCACUACUUUUUGGAGACAGAAUCUUACUAAAUUGCUGAGGCUGGGGUUGAAUUUGCAAUACUGCUGCCUCAGCCUACCAAGGUACUAGGAUUACAGGUAUGUGCCACUACACCUGGCUGGAUUUGAACUGUUGGGGCGAGGGCUAUGGCUCAGUGGUAGAGUGCUUGCCCAGGAUGCACAAGGCCCUGAGUUCAACUCGCUGCAACAUACACUGUUAUGGUUUGUGUCUAGAUGUUUCCCCAGAGCCUCCUGCAGUCUCAGGUGAAGCUUUUUAGAGGUGGCUGAAUCUAGGAGCAAGCCCGCAAUGCUGGGAUUGGCUCACAGUGCUAUGCUAGGAUUAAAGGUGUGAGGGCUAUCCCUAAGGGCAAAGAGUCUGAAUAAAAUAUAAGAGAAGGA